rnacentral:rRNA from 1 species
GACUCUCGGCAACGGAUAUCUCGGCUCACGCAUCGAUGAAGAACGUAGCAAAAUGCGAUACUUGGUGUGAAUUGCAGAAUCCCGUGAACCAUCGAGUUUUUGAACGCAAGUUGCGCCYGAAGCCUUUUGGUYGAGGGCACGUCUGCCUGGGCGUCACGC